AGAACGAAAUGAAUUCCAAAUGAAAUUCUCGCUUUGUUUUGAUGUGGUCUAGAAUGAACUUACGAAAAAAUACAACUUUGACAUUGGAAAUUUAGUGUCGGGCCGCAUAAUGUUUGCAAUUUAAAUAAAAAUUAGAAUGAGAGCUCUAGAUUACGUUGUGUGAUGUGUAGUAGCAGGAUAAGAGUGUAUGUUCGUUCAGCCAUGUCUUUAAAUAUACGCGGAACUCA